AAUGGCGUAGUUUAAGUAAAGAAUGGGUGUUCUGCAAACAUCUGGUGAAAGGUUUCGCUGUUG
rnacentral:tRNA from 1 species